rnacentral:lncRNA from 1 species
GCAUUGUCACGGAUGACACGGAACACAUCCGUUGUCACAGAUGACACGGAACACAUCCUGUAAAUUCGGAUACAAGAAGACAUUUUUCCCCUUUCUCUUUCUGUAAAAAAGGACAGAUGCCUGUCCACUCUGAAAAGCCACACAGCUUUCAGGGAGAGGAGGCUGACAUUCCUCCGACCUUCUUCCGUCAGUUUUCUGCACUGAGAGGGAGGCAUGUGAUGAACUCCACCUCCGACCCUCCCUCGCCUGGCUGCCAGCGAGACCGUCAGCUCUUAAGAGACUCUGGAAGCUCCGUUUGGCCCCAGAUGGGUUUUUUCUCCUCUGCUGGGGAUGAAACAGCCUCUCUGGCCCACCACCGAAAGUGAGAUAAAUGACCUGGAGGUGGUGCGCUCCAUGGUUUCGAUACCCAUUUUGUAGCCAAAUGGGCCUCGCUCUAAUGGAACGGGCCUAUGUCCUCGUAUUGUUGCAAUGCUAAUGAGCCAAUGCAAGACAAAAAGGAGCUCAUUUUCUGGGCCAGGCAUAGGAGAAAAGCCGGUUUCCUCUUUCCCGAUCUUCUCUCGCCUACUUUGUGGUGCUAAUAGAGACCACCAACAGAUCGAAAGCGUUCAAGUCCACUCGUCAACAGCCAUUCUGCAUUAAGAAGCAAUGCUGGCACUUCAUUCUCCAGAAGGAUCUCAGCUGUGAGUGCUUGAAAGCUGCCCUUUUUUCUCUUUAAAUGGACUUGCUCUCCUUUCCAGGAACCACCAACUCUCAAAGCAAAAGCGAAGAGAAGGACCUAGUUUGAAAGCCAAACUUCACCCCUUCACCCCUCUUCUCUGGUUCUGGAGGGAAGAAGAUGCAGUCACAAUGCCUAAUCUAUUCUGUUUGAUACCAGAAAGCUACUUCUUGAAGCAGGCAGAUGUUUCUGGCGGUGGAAGACACUUUUUGUUCAUGCAGGCGCUGCCAGGGUGGAAUUUGUUUGAUGGCAUCCAGGAUCUAGUAAGGAAGUGUGGGGUGAACAUUUUGAUGGUAGGUUCUCUCUCUUUUUGGGAGGGGAAAAAUAACUAUGGGCUUAAGUAGUUCAUAAUGGAAGGUGGUGGCGCUGUGGGCUAAACCACAGAAGCCUUUGUGUGCUGCAGGGUCAGAAGACCACGCAGUCGUAAGAUCGA